rnacentral:rRNA from 1 species
GAUGAACGCUGGCGGCGUGCCUAAUACAUGCAAGUCGAGCGAACGGACGAGAAGCUUGCUUCUCUGAUGUUAGCGGCGGACGGGUGAGUAACACGUGGAUAACCUACCUAUAAGACUGGGAUAACUUCGGGAAACCGGAGCUAAUACCGGAUAAUAUUUUGAACCGCAUGGUUCAAAAGUGAAAGACGGUCUUGCUGUCACUUAUAGAUGGAUCCGCGCUGCAUUAGCUAGUUGGUAAGGUAACGGCUUACCAAGGCAACGAUGCAUAGCCGACCUGAGAGGGUGAUCGCCCACACUGGAACUUAGACACGGUCCAGACUCCUACGGGAGGCAGCAGUAGGGAAUCUUCCGCAAUGGGCGAAAGCCUGACGGAGCAACGCCGCGUGAGUGAUGAAGGUCUUCGGAUCGUAAAACUCUGUUAUUAGGGAAGAACAUAUGUGUAAGUAACUGUGCACAUCUUGACGGUACCUAAUCAGAAAGCCACGGCUAACUACGUG